ensembl:lncRNA novel transcript
GAGUAGCUGGGACUACAGUCACGUACCACCAGUUGAAAAAGAUCAUCUAGCAAAGCCUUUUUUCCCAGCUACAUAUAAGGAAUUUGAAAGUCACAUAAAAUGGUUAAGAAAAUGUGCCAAGAUUACCUCAGUAAUUCUGGUCUGUGUUCUCAGGAGACCCUGGAAAUAAACAAUGUGUCUUCUGUGGCUUCAGCGUCACCUAGUGCAGGCUGCCAUUCAACAAACGCAUUGUCAACAGUCAACCAAAAGAAACCCAUUGGCCACCAUACCCUGAGGACUAACCCUGACACAGAUGCCCUUCCAGAUGCCCUCAAUAGUCUAACUGAUUCCAUCGCCCCAGCCUUGGGGGAGAAGCACUGCUGCCUAUGCACUCCAUUUACAGGCUAAAAUCACACUCGAUGUUUUUAUGGGAUCAUUUGAUCUGGACAUUGUCAAAGAAAAAAUUGCACCAGACAAGUUAAACCUUCAAGGAAGGACUCAGUCAGGACUACUGCAAUACGGAAGAGAGGAGCUUAACUUCAUUGAAACAAAAGGCUGGGGAGUUUUUAAGUGCCGGGGUGAGAUGCUGAGAAGGAACUGGAGACAUCAGGAAGAGGGUUAUAGAGUGGAAAGUCCCACAAUCUUUUUCUUCUCUAUUUUCAGAAAAACGUUGACCUCUUGGCGAGAAUGCAAAGAAGGGAACGCUUGCUUAUACGCUGUUGGUGAACUGUCACCCCUACAACUCAGCUUGCAACCAGCCCUGGCCACCAGUUUCCCCACACUGAGCUGAAUAUCGGACAUGCCCAUCUCAGACAUUCCAGCCCAUUCUGAAAUUCCACAUCGAUUCACCUGACAAAGUCUGAAGUUCCAGGGCAAUUUAUCUGGAAAAGCUUACCUGGAAUCACGUGUCAUUUCAACCAACAACUGUUGAAGAGGACGUGGCAUUAAAACCAAGGGUAUCAAUUAUUUAUAA